AGGGGUGUCAACAAGCCGAAGAGGAUAUCUUUACAUCGUUAAACGAGAAAACGCCUCAUAUCGAUCAUUAAAAUUAUAAAUUUUGAAAUCCUUUGAUCAUUAGGCAAAUGAUGUAAAAAUGAUUUGAAAUUUGAUUUCUAAACACUUCAAGUGGUAUAGAUUAUGUUCAACGGUGCCGAUCGUCGAUUUAAAAGCUCCAUCAUCGAAAACAAAUGGGUGGCAACGAAGCCUGUUUGCUAUCGAUAGUAUUCUAGCUCAACUCUAUCUAUAUAUAUAUAUAUAUAUAUAUAUAUAUAGAGAGAGAGAGAGAGAGAGAGAGAGAGAGAGAGAGAGAGAGAGAGAGAGUCCGGCUAUGGUACUUGUAAAUUUUUUACCGUUAGAUCUACACUUUUGAUGAUUUUCACUCGUUAGAUUAUACUAUUCAACCAAUCCCCCACUCAACCCAAGAGGGCCCACAUCAUCCUAAUAGCAUAUUUUUUUAAUCUAAUAGCCAAAAAUCUGUAAACACUAUUACUUUUAAAAAAAUAGGAAUUCAAUUAUAUAUAU
rnacentral:lncRNA from 1 species